CAUUAACUCCGCCUUAAACUCACAACAGAUGAAGAGGAGCUGCAGGUUUUUUCCUCUCUGAGUGAAGAGAUUUCUCUCAGAUGUAAUCAUCUUCAGCGUGAAAAUAUUCCUGACUGGGUUUUAUUAAACAGAUUUGAUCCAUUGUCUGUAUUUGAGGAUGUUUAUUACGUUCUCCUUUGAUGCCUGAGAAUUACAACCUUUAAGACCAAACCUUAUGAUGGAAUCAGCAGAGGUCCAACCAUGCUCUUUUAGAAACCCUCCACACACCCCUGCUCCUGCUGGCUCCCAG